AGGGAGACAGAGCUACAUGGGAACCUAUUAGAUAACCAAUUCUCUCAGCCGCCUCACAGGGUGAGAAAGUAAGCGAGCGAGAGAGAGAGAGAGAGAGAGUGGACACACAGGAAUUCCAUUCAAUCCCAGACCUGCAAGAGUUAGUUCUGCAUGAUCACCACAAGAGCCCAAAACAACCUGACUCAAUUCACACCAUGUCACCUCACAUUUCCCGGUCCGCUCUGCUGCAGGGGAUCAUACCGGGAGGAAACAUCCCAUUCAGGCUGGCUGUAGCUCGAACAGGCUUGGCAGGACAAAUGAGAUGGUGUCUACUAGUUCAAUAGAGCAGCUGUAAAUGAUUAAAAACUCUCCAUGGGUUUGUAAAGGAUUUGUCAGGUCUGUAAUGGAUUCUGAAGGCUACAAAUUUACCAGAAGCCAUGAAGACAGAAAGCAAACAGACCUUUGAGCAGUGUGGGUGCGAGAAGGGUCUUCCUCAUCCAUAGAAAGAAAUGUUAAUCUGCUUUUAGCUGAGCUCUUGUUUUUCUAGCACUCUAUAAAUUUGUCAAUUUAAAAACAUACAGUAGUGAAAGCUCCUACAGUAAUGAGUUUUGCAGGCUCUUUAAUGGAAGUCAGCAUCUGUGCCCUUACACUUUCUUUCACUAACAUAAUCACUGUUUAAAGUCUC